rnacentral:lncRNA from 1 species
AUUCAUUCAUAAGCAGAUGCCGAUCGAUCGAACUCCAAACUUCUUUGCAUGGUUACAAAUAAUGAGUACAAAACAAUGGUUGUCGAUCAGAGUUAAAGAAUCAAACUCGAUCUUAAUUCCAAAGGUAAACAACAUUAAUGGAUCCAAAGCAGACUAAUUACAUGCAUGGGAGCAAUAUUAAUCGAACUAAACUAUCAGUCAGUGCCCCGGACCUUUGGCGCUCGGCCCUGACUUGGCUUUUGCAAGCAUCAGAGCCGGAAAGGACGGUGAAGCAAAGCCCUGCCCGUGGAUAGGCCUCGAUCCUUGUACCACAUGCAGGUAAGAGAGUGCAACGAAGAACAUGAUGACGAUGAUGGCCACACGGCAUCCUCGUGGACUAAUAAUUAUCGCCAUGCCCACAAACUUCUUCGGCAGAAGGAAUGGAUGUUUGUGCUCUGCAGGGAGGGACGAGUCUAAGAAGCUUUAUAGCAAUCGUAGCGGGCGCCGACUCCAAGAGAUCCAUUUGCUGGACUCUGCAAGGUUUGAAAAGGUGCCAGCAUGGGGGUUGACAAAAGGGAGGGUGGGUUUCGGCCGGCCGGUGCUCUCUUCCUCAAGAUCUUCUCUCUUUGACUCAACUUCUCGCCGUUCUGCUGCUGUUCAUAUUCUCCGGUUUUGUGUCAAUUGCAAGUUCGAUUCACACGAAAGCAUGCGCAUGAGCACGGAGCAGAUCUCUUCGUUCUAACAGUAGGUCACCAUGGAUGCAGGCGAGGGCGAAGGAGACUGCCGAGGCCAGCGGCUUGGCCCGGUGUGCCGACAACUGGUUCAUGGACGGACACGUGCAGUGGUAGGUCGCGG